UACCAGCACCCCGAGUGGUCGGGACGUUUAUUGGGCCUAAAGCAUCCGUAGCCGGUUCUACAAGUCUUCCGUUAAAUCCAGCUGCUUAACAGAUGGGCUGCGGAAGAUACUAUGGAGCUAGGAGGCGGGAGAGGCAAGCGGUACUCGAUGGGUAGGGGUAAAAUCCGUUGAUCCAUUGAAGACCACCAGUGGCGAAGGCGGCUUGCCAGAACGCGCUCGACGGUGAGGGAUGAAAGCUAGGGGAGCGAAUGGG
rnacentral:rRNA from 1 species